rnacentral:rRNA from 1 species
UACGUAGGGGACAAGCGUUGUCCGGAUUUACUGGGCGUAAAGAGCGCGCAGGCGGUCGUGCAAGUCGGGUGUGAAAGCCCCCGGCUCAACUGGGGAGGGUCACUCGAUACUGAUCGACUCGAAGGCAGGAGAGGGUAGUGGAAUUCCCGGUGUAGUGGUGAAAUUCGUAGAUAUUCGGAAGAACACCAGUGGCGAAGGCGACUUACUGGACACAUAUUGACGCUGAGGUGCGAAAGCGUGGGGAGCAAACAGG